GAUUGUAGUUCUACAAAUCCAUUGUCACGCCAAAAACAUACGAUUCAUCAAGACCAAGUUGCUCAAAUCCCAUCUGGGUCCAACGGGGUUCCUGCAAACCCUGUUGAUUCAAACUUUGAUAUCUCCGAUCCAAAUGCAAAUGCCCGAGUUCCAGUACAAGAACUUGUUCAGGAACCUGGUUAUAUGUUACAGCAACCCUAAUUUGAUCAACAGUUGCAGCAACAGCAGCAACAACAACAACGGAAGCAGCUAGUUCAGGAUUCUGGUUAUAUAUUGCCGCAAACCCAAUUUGAUCAACAGUUGCAAGAACAAUCUCCACCACAAUUCUUACAUACUGGUGCAGCACAUUUUACUCAUCAUCACCCUGUUGGGGCUGUUCCAAUCUCAGCUUAUUACCUUGUACAUCAUUCCAAACAACAUCAUCAUGCUCAAAUUGAUCAGAAAUAUCCCCCUCUAUUAUGUGCCGACAAUGCAAGCCCAAGC